AUUGAACGCUGGCGGAAUGCUUUACACAUGCAAGUCGAACGGCAGCACGGACUUCGGUCUGGUGGCGAGUGGCGAACGGGUGAGUAAUGUAUCGGAACGUGCCCAGUCGUGGGGGAUAACGUAGUGAAAAUUACGCUAAUACCGCAUACGAUCUAUGGAUGAAAGCGGGGGAUCGCAAGACCUCGCGCGAUUGGAGCGGCCGAUAUCAGAUUAGGUAGUUGGUGGGGUAAAGGCCCACCAAGCCAACGAUCUGUAGCUGGUAUGAGAGGACGACCCGCCACACUUGAACUGAGACACGGUCCAGACUCCUACGGGAGGCAGCAGUGGGGAAUUUUGGACAAUGGGCGAAAGCCUGAUCCAGCCAUUCCGCUGUCAGGAUGAAGGCCCUCGGGUUGUAAGCUGCUUUUGUACAGAACGAAAAGGUUUCUACUAAUACUAGGAGCUCAUGACGGUACUGUAAGAAUAAGCACCGGCUAACUACGUGCCAGCCGCCGCAGUAA
rnacentral:rRNA from 1 species